UACGUAGGGUGCGAGCGUUAAUCGGAAUUACUGGGCGUAAAGGGCGCGUAGGCGGUGUGUCAAGUCAGGCGUGAAAGCCCCGGGCUCAACCUGGGAAUGGCGAUGGAUACUGGCUCGCUAGAGUGCGGUAGAGGAGAGUGGAAUUCCCGGUGUAGCAGUGAAAUGCGUAGAGAUCGGGAGGAACAUCAGUUGCGAAGGCGGCUCUCUGGACCAGCACUGACACUGAGGCACGAAAGCGUGGGGAGCAAACAGG
rnacentral:rRNA from 1 species